CAGAGUUAUCCAACUCCCAAACCCAUGUGAACUUAUCUCUUUGUUGCCUCGGCCGCAAGCUACCCGGGACCUCGCGCCCCAGGCGGCCCGCCGGCGGACAAACCAAAACUCUUGUUAUCUUAGUUGAUUAUCUGAGUGUCUUAUUUAAUAAGUCA
rnacentral:misc_RNA from 1 species